UGUUAGGAAAUACACUCAGAACAUCUGAGGAUGCAGGAGUCACUUGGAGGUUUGUGGGGGGGGGGGGGAAGAGAGGUUGUUGUAUGAUGAUGUCUUAGGAAUUAAAGCCAAGUGCUCUCAAGGUAGGUGUGCUAUAAGGUAAGGUUUAGUCCUCUCCCUCCAGGCUGCCCAUUGUUUCCUGGAAGUCCUCAUAAGCAGGGUGAAGAGCAGCUUGACCUGUCUGUGCCUGUUGGAUGUGAAGUGAUCUUGUAGCAACUGUAACUGUUUUCAGAGAGGAGCUGAUCUUCAGGUGGCCAAGUGCCCUUGAAGUAUAUCACGUGGUGACUAGAGAUGGCCUCUUCACCCGAGUGACUUACACUCCCUGCUGCCCCCUCUUCUCUUGCCCAUUAGAGGGUGUCAGGCUGAGCAGCCCUGGGGUAAGUGUCUCUAAAGAGAAAUACAAGUCAAGUUGCUCAGUGUGGCUGCUUCCUGGUAUCCUUUCUAUUUUCUCACGUAAGAAUGUAUAUUUUAUGGAGCAUGUGUUUGUCCUGUCUACUGUAAUGUCAAUAAAGCUAAGACAUUGUG
rnacentral:lncRNA from 1 species